GACGAACGCUGGCGGCGUGCUUAACACAUGCAAGUCGAACGGAAAGGCCCCUUUGGGGGUCCUCGAGUGGCGAACGGGUGAGUAACACGUGAGUAACCUGCCCUUAACUUCGGGAUAACUUCAGGAAACUGGGGCUAAUACCGGCUAGGAAUCCUUGCUGCAUGGUGGGGGUUGGAAAGCUUCGGGGGUUUUGGAUGGACUCGCGGCUUAUCAGCUUGUUGGUGGGGUAGUGGCUUACCAAGGCUUUGACGGGUAGCCGGCCUUAGGGGGCGACCGGCCAAAUUGGGAAUGAGAUACGGCCCAGACUCCUACGGGAGGAAGGAGUGGGGAAUAGUGAACAAUGGGCGGAAGCCGGAUGCAGCAAAGCCGCGGGGGGGAUGACGGCCUUCGGGUUGUAAACCGCUUUCAGCAGGGGAGAAGCUUGUGGUGACGGUACCUGCAGAAGAAGCACCGGCUAACUACGUG
rnacentral:rRNA from 1 species